rnacentral:rRNA from 1 species
AAUGGGCGCAAGCCUGAUCCAGCCAUGCCGCGUGAGUGAAGAAGGCCUUAGGGUUGUAAAACUCUUUCGCCGGUGAAGAUAAUGACGGUAACCGGAGAAGAAGCCCCGGCUAACUUCGUGCCAGCAGCCGCGGUAAUACGAAGGGGGCUAGCGUUGUUCGGAAUUACUGGGCGUAAAGCGCACGUAGGCGGGUUUGUAAGUAGGGGGUGAAAUCCCAGGGCUCAACCCUGGAACUGCCUUCUAGACUGCAAGCCUGGAGGUCAGGAGAGGCGAGUGGAAUACCGAGUGUAGAGGUGAAAUUCGUAGAUAUUCGGUGGAACACCAGUGGCGAAGGCGACUCGCUGGACUGAUACUGACGCUGAGGUGCGGAAGCGUGGGGAGCAAA